rnacentral:lncRNA from 1 species
GCUGAAGCAGCCGGUCCGGGCACUCCGGGGCUGCCUGAGGGGAAAAAGGGAAUCCUGGGGUUCCUCUGCCUCAGGCAGCUUCAUCUCGGCUCAGCUCAGGCCAGGGAGCCGCGCUAGCCCCGAACGCAGCAGGUGUCGCAGUGAAAAGCCCCAGGUGCUCGGGGCGGCGGUGCCGAUGGAGCUGAGGCGGGAAGAUGGAGGCCUGUGGGUCCCCUCACGGGCAGCGCGCGUGGGGUCGAUGGCUGAGAAGGACGUUCCCCACACUGUGUGUGCCAGCCUGCUCAGGAUGAGACUUGAAUUCCCUCCCAUUGAUCAUGGCCAAAGAAGAAAGCUCAAAUGGAGAUUUUAUUCCAGAAACAAUGGCCCCCUUAUGUGCUGUGUCGUGAUCUCUCUGAAUGAACCUGCUGGUGAAAUGAAGGCUUUUCCCUGGGCAGUGGCUGAGUGACUGAGAAAAGCAAUUGAGGAAAAGGAUGGGAACCCCUUGGACUUCUCAUCUUGGAGGGAGGAGGACAUCUCUGAGCAAAUCAGGAAAAUACUGGUUGUAAGCAGGGAUAACUGCAAGAAGCACUAGUAAGCUGGAGGACAGAAGGAGAGGAACAUCCGGCAUCUUGCCUGGGUGUUCACAGCAGUUACCAUCCAUGUCCUGUUUGGAAGGGAGAACAGGUCAGCGAAAUGCUGGGAGCAAGAAAGCCCUUUUGGAU